rnacentral:rRNA from 1 species
GAUGAACGCUAGCUACAGGCUUAACACAUGCAAGUCGAGGGGCAUCACAGUGUAGCAAUACACGGGUGGCGACCGGCGCACGGGUGCGUAACACGUAUCCAAUCUGCCCGUUACUCGGGGAUAGCCUUCUGAAAGGAAGAUUAAUACCCGAUGGCAUGUAUUUCCGGCAUCGGAGAUACAUUAAAGAUUUUAUCGGUAACGGAUGAGGAUGCGUACGAUUAGCUGGUUGGCGGGGUAACGGCCCACCAUGGCGACGAUGUCUAGGGGUUCUGAGAGGAAGGUCCCCCACACUGGAACUGAGACACGGUCCAGACUCCUACGGGAGGCAGCAGCGAGGAAUAUUGGUCAAUGGUCGGAAGACUGAACCAGCCAUGCCGCGUGAAGGUGACGGCCCUAUGGGUCUUAAACUUCUUUUGCAAGGGAGCAAUAAGGUUCACGUGUGGACUGAUGAGAGUACCUUGCGAAUAAGCAUCGGCUAACUCCGUGCCA